rnacentral:misc_RNA from 1 species
GAUGAAGAACGUAGUGAAAUGCGAUACGUAAUGUGAAUUGCAGAAUUCAGUGAAUCAUCGAAUCUUUGAACGCAUAUUGCGCUCUCUGGUAUUCCGGAGAGCAUGCUUGUUUGAGUAUCAGUAAACACCUCAACUUCCAUAUCUUUUUUGAAAUGGGAGUUGGACUUGAGUGAUCCCAACGCUUUUCCUCACCGAAAAGUGGCGGGUUACUUGAAAUGCAGGUGCAGCUGGACUUUUCUCUGAGCUAUAAGCAUAUCUAUUUAUUCUGCCUAAAAAACAGAUUAUUACCUUUGCUGCAGCUAACAUAAAGGAGAUUAGUUCUUGUGCUGACUGAUGCAGGAUUCACAAAGACAGCUUCGGCCGACUUUGUAAACUCGAUCUCAAAUCAAGUAAGACUACCCGCUGAACUUAAGCAUAUCAAUAAGCGGAGGA